GGCUGUUAGCCUGCCAAGAGAGCCAUGGUGAACAACAAGAAAAUCUCCAGAUGUGCAAAAGGUUUCUGUGCUACACAGUCCAUAGGAGGAAAAUAACAAAACGUUCAGAAUAAAGAAGACCUCAUUUCCACAAGCAGUUUACAAAUCUGGAAGAACCGUAUACAGUUUAAAAAGGAGGAGAUGCAUUCCUCAUGCCUCCCUGAGUCCAUUUCUGGGAGCCAUCUGCAGUCAUUUUUACAGUAAUAAAGGGUUGUAUUCAGAAUUGCUGGUUAGAGACUCAAAGUGCUUCUGGACUCAGCCAGGGGUGAGGACAGCCCUGAGGGCUUAGGAUCCACUGGGGCCAUGCUGUCUGGUGGUGGAGUGAGCUGUGAUGAACAGGACAGUAAGAAAGUUGAGGUGAAGUCCCAUCUAAUUUGAAGUACUAAAAUAGCACAAGUUCACAUACAUGUGAUCAAAAAGGAGACAACUGAAUUUAGAAUAAAAACAGUUGCUGCAACCAAAUAAGUGGAUAACCGGAACUGGGCAAGAAUGAGAAGUCUAAUUCCCCUGAAAUUCAUGAGUUUAACCUCAAAGCAUUUUUCUGCUGAUUUCAUCUGAUUUCCUCACCUACCCUUCUGUAAAACAUGUGGACAAUACCUUUGAUAUGAAUAUUUCACUUCUAAUGAAAACAAGUGUUCAUACAUCUUCCUGCUUAGGUGGGAUUUCUGUGAGCAUCUCUCUGCUGUGGGAAAAGGGAAAAAAAAUCUGUUCAUUCUCUCUUGCCAUCUGGGCCUUUUUUUUCAGAGAUUACUAUGUUCCCCUCAUUUCAAUCCUCUGAACAGAUAUUUAAAAAGGCAAACUGGAAAAAAAAAGGAACCAAAGGACAUUUAGGGAACACAGAACAGUAUUAAAUUUACCAGUAACAAUAUUAAAUUUACCAGUAAACCUCAUUGCUCAAUUUUUACAUAUAUGAAUACAUACAUAGAGCAGCACGUGACAGAAGAGAAACAUCAUAAAGAGAGAUCAUUACUUAGAGACAUUGACUCAGGAGAUGGGAACAGCCAGCCCAUCUCAGCUGGCAUGGGAAGAACUUCCUGGGAAAAGUUGUUCCAGCCCAGAAAGUCUAUGACUCAGAUGAAAUUAAACCUGGAAGCAAGGACUUGCCUGCAGGGACACCUCCAGGAUGUCAUGCUGCUGGCUCCUUUUAGAGCCAUGAUAUUCAAACUCCCUCCCAUACCCUCAAGAAACAGACACAGGAGAGGUAAGGAGGGCAUGGACAUUUCCCUUCUUCCCACUUAGUCUGCCUGUGGGUUACCAAGUGGAAGACUCUUUUCAGCUCUUUUUUAUUACUGGGUAAAAGCACAAGUGGCAAGGU
ensembl:lncRNA